CGGGACGGGUGAGUAACGCGUGGAUAACCUGCCUCACACUGGGGGAUAACAGUUAGAAAUGGCUGCUAAUACCGCAUAAGCGCACAGUACCGCAUGGUACGGUGUGAAAAACCCAGGUGGUGUGAGAUGGAUCCGCGUCUGAUUAGCCAGUUGGCGGGGUAACGCCCACCAAAGCGACGAUCAGUAGCCGACCUGAGAGGGUGACCGGCCACAUUGGGACUGAGACACGGCCCAA
rnacentral:rRNA from 1 species